rnacentral:rRNA from 1 species
UUUCACCUCCUUCAUCCGAGAUUACCCGCUGAACUUAA